rnacentral:rRNA from 1 species
UACGGAAGGGGCAAGCGUUGUUCGGAAUCAUUGGGCGUAAAGGGCGCGUAGGUGGUUCUGUAUGUCUACCGUGAAAGCAUACAGCUCAACUGUAUUUUGUCGGUAGAAACUGCAGGACUUGAGGCUGGGAGGGGCUGGUGGAAUUCCCUGUGUAGCGGUGAAAUGCGUAGAGAUGGGGGGAGAACACUCGUGGCGAAGGCGGCCAGCUAGACCAGUUCUGACGCUGAUGCGCGAAAGCGUGGGUAGCAAACAGG